AGCUCCAAUAGCGUAUAUUAAAGUUGCUGCAGUUAAAAAGCUCGUAGUUGCAUUUCCGAGGCAAGGGAUUAGUCCGACCUUUGGUGGGUAUUUAAUCCUCUUGCCUCGUCCUUGAGUGGUGCUUCUUGGUAUUAAGUUAUCGAGGAGAUAGCCGCUCAUCGUUUACUGUGAGAAAAUUAGAGUGUUCAAAGCAGGCUUAUGCCGUUGAAUAUAUUAGCAUGGAAUAAUAAGAUAGGACCUCGGUACUAUUUUGGUGGUUUGAGAACCAAGGUAAUGAUGAAUAGGGACAGUUGGGGGUAUUCGUAUUCAGUUGUCAGAGGUGAAAUUCUUAGAUUUACGGAAGACGAACUACUGCGAAAGCAUUUACCAAGGAUGGUUUCA
rnacentral:rRNA from 1 species